AAGUAGCAGCAGUAGCUGUAGUAGCAACAGUAGCAAUAGUAGUAUUAGUAGUAGUAGUGCUAGUAGCAGUAGUAGCUAUAGCAACAAUGGCGCUGUAGUAUUAGUAGUAGUAGUAGUUGGAUUAGUAAUAGUAGUACCUAUAAAUAUCCAUGUACUUAAAAGCUUUUAGCAUCAAUGACAAAUCAAAAUUUGAGUUUCUCAAUUAGUCUCUCUUAUUUCUUCCUCUCAU
rnacentral:lncRNA from 1 species